CGCACAUUGCGCCCGCUAGUAUUCUGGCGGGCAUGCCUGUUCGAGCGUCAUUUCAACCCUCAAGCCCCUCCAGGCUUGGCGUUGGGGAUCGGCCCCGCUUUGGCGGCCGGCCCCGAAAUCGAGUGGCGGUCCCGCCGUGGCUUCCUUUGCGUAGUAAAUCAUCUCGCACUGGAACGCGGCGCGGCCACGCCGUUAAUCAGACGAAUCUUUCAAGGUUGACCUCGGAUCAGGUAGGAAUACCCGCUGAACUUAA
rnacentral:misc_RNA from 1 species